AAAUUGAAGAGUUUGAUCAUGGCUCAGAUUGAACGCUGGCGGCAGGCCUAACACAUGCAAGUCGAACGGUAACAGGAAGCAGCUUGCUGCUUUGCUGACAAGUGGCGGACGGGUGAGUAAUGUCUGGGAAACUGCCUGAUGGAGGGGGAUAACUACUGGAAACGGUAGCUAAUACCGCAUAACGUCGCAAGACCAAAGAGGGGGACCUUCGAGCCUCUUGCCAUUGGAUGUGCCCAGAUGGGAUUAGCUAGUAGGUGGGGUAACGGCUCACC
rnacentral:rRNA from 1 species